UACGUAGGGCGCAAGCGUUGUCCGGAAUUAUUGGGCGUAAAGAGCUCGUAGGCGGUCUGUCGCGUCUGGUGUGAAAUCCCGAGGCUCAACUUCGGGCUUGCAUCGGGUACGGGCGGACUAGAGUGCUGUAGGGGAGACUGGAAUUCCUGGUGUAGCGGUGAAAUGCGCAGAUAUCAGGAGGAACACCGGUGGCGAAGGCGGGUCUCUGGGCCGAUACUGACGCUGAGGAGCGAAAGCGUGGGGAGCGAACAGG
rnacentral:rRNA from 1 species